CUGGAGGUAUCAGAAGUGCGAAUGCUGACAUAAGUAACGAUAAAGCGGGUGAAAAGCCCGCUCGCCGGAAGACCAAGGGUUCCUGUCCAACGUUAAUCGGGGCAGGGUGAGUCGACCCCUAAGGCGAGGCCGAAAGGCGUAGUCGAUGGGAAACGGGUUAAUAUUCCCGUACUUGGUGUUACUGCGAAGGGGGGACGGAGAAGGCUAUGUUGGCCGGGCGACGGUUGUCCCGGUUUAAGCGUGUAGGCUGGUUUUCCAGGCAAAUCCGGAAAAUCAAGGCUGAGGCGUGACGACGAGGCACUACGGUGCUGAAGCAACAAAUGCCCUGCUUCCAGGAAAAGCCUCUAAGCAUCAGGUAACAUCAAAUCGUACCCCAAACCGACACAGGUGGUCAGGUAGAGAAUACCAAGGCGCUUGAGAGAACUCGGGUGAAGGAACUAGGCAAAAUGGUGCCGUAACUUCGGGAGAAGGCACGCUGACAC
rnacentral:rRNA from 2 species